rnacentral:rRNA from 1 species
CCUACGGGAGGCAGCAGUGAGGAAUAUUGGUCAAUGGGCGGAAGCCUGAACCAGCCAAGUAGCGUGCAGGAUGACGGCCCUACGGGUUGUAAACUGCUUUUAUACGGGAAUAACGCCCCUUACGUGUAGGGCUUUGCAUGUACCGUAUGAAUAAGGACCGGCUAAUUCCGUUCCAGCCGCCUCGGUAAUACGGAAGGUCCGGGCGUUAGACGGAUUUAUUUGGUUUAAAGGGAGCGUAGGCCGCAUGUCAAGCGUGCUGUGAAAUGUCCGGGCUCAACCCGGGCCUUGCAGCGCGAACUGGCGUGCUUGAGUCAGCGGAAAGCAGGAGGAAUUCGGCGUGUAGCGGUGAAAUGCUUAGAUAUGACGAAGAACCCCGAUGGCGAAGGCAGCUUGCUGCAGCGGAACUGACGCUGAUGCUCGAAAGCGCGGGUAUCGAACAGGAUUAGAUACCCUUGUAGUC